rnacentral:misc_RNA from 1 species
GAUAGUUUGUCAGCUAUCUUUAAAGUUGGUGUCAAUUCAGGAGAGGUCUUUUACACAGAUUUGAGGAAAUUGGGUGAUGGGGAUAGUAAUCCUUGGAUUUGCUUGGGCGAUAAGAGGAAAAUGCUGAAUGUCAAGAAAGAAGGAGUUGGGUGCAAGAUUGAGUCUUACGGGAAUCAAUUAUUUUGUAGUAAAGGAGGAGAUGUUGAG